GUGUUUGCUUCGGCAGCACAUAUAACUAAAAUUGGAAUGAUACAGAGAAGAUUAGCUUGGCCCCUGUGCAAGCACGACACGCAAAUUCAUGAAGUGUUCUGUAUUUUU
ensembl:snRNA U6 U6 spliceosomal RNA